rnacentral:ncRNA from 1 species
GGAAGUGAUUGUAGGGCGCAAUCACGUUAAUCAAAAGAAAGUUCGAUCGAGG